rnacentral:rRNA from 1 species
GCCAGACUCCUACGGGAGGCAGCAGUGGGGAAUAUUGCACAAUGGGGGAAACCCUGAUGCAGCAACGCCGCGUGAGUGAAGAAGUAUUUCGGUAUGUAAAGCUCUAUCAGCAGGGAAGAAGAAAGACGGUACCUGAGUAAGAAGCCCCGGCUAACUACGUGCCAGCAGCCGCGGUAAUACGUAGGGGGCAAGCGUUAUCCGGAUUUACUGGGUGUAAAGGGAGCGUAGACGGCAGUGCAAGUCUGGAGUGAAAGGCGGGGGCUCAACCCCCGGACUGCUCUGGAAACUGUACGGCUGGAGUGCAGGAGAGGUAAGUGGAAUUCCUAGUGUAGCGGUGAAAUGCGUAGAUAUUAGGAGGAACACCAGUGGCGAAGGCGGUCUGCUGGACAGCAACUGACGGUGAGGCGCGAAAGCGUGGGGAGCAAACAGGAUUAGAUACCCGUGUA